UUGUUUUGCUCAUGUUCCUGUUGGUUUCCUAGUGUACCUGCUACCUGUGUUUAUUUCCCUGUUGUCUGCACCUGGAUUCCUGUCUGCUAUCUUGUCCACUGGUCUGACUGUAAGCCCGUUUUCACUUAGUAAAAGUUACUUCAAUCAUCCAGCCUGCCUCUGUCUUCAUCCCAGGAGAAAGGUAGAGACCUGUACUGAUCAACUCCUCCCCUCCUAAGAGAGAGAGACACACACACACACACAGCAGCUUUACAUCCCUACAAGACAUAUUUCACCUUUCUCCUUAAGAGUGAGACAACUGGCAUCAAGGGGUUAUCCCUGAUGAGGUAGGGCAAGAGGGCAUCAGGAUCUGGGCAAACCUUAUAUAACUCAGACCCCACACUGAGGAGUAGA